rnacentral:rRNA from 1 species
UACGAAGGGUGCUAGCGUUGUUCGGAAUCACUGGGCGUAAAGCGCGCGUAGGCGGCGACACAAGUCAGGGGUGAAAUCCUUGGGCUCAACCCAAGAAUUGCCUUUGAAACUAGGUUGCUAGAGUACUGGAGGGGAUGGCGGAAUUGCUAAUGUAGAGGUGAAAUUCGUAGAUAUUAGCAGGAACACCGGUGGCGAAGGCGGCCAUCUGGCCAGUAACUGACGCUGAGGCGCGAAAGCACGGGGAUCAAACAGG